rnacentral:rRNA from 1 species
GUAGUCCACGCCGUAAACGAUGAGUGCUAGCCGUUGGGUUUUCGGACUCGGUGGCGCAGCUAACGCAUUAAGCACUCCGCCUGGGGAGUACGGUCGCAAGAUUAAAACUCAAAGGAAUUGACGGGGACCCGCACAAGCGGUGGAGCAUGUGGUUUAAUUCGAGGCAACGCGAAGAACCUUACCAGGUCUUGACAUGCCGGUCGCGGAUCGCAGAGAUGCUUUCCUUCAGUUUGGCUGGACCGUGCACAGGUGCUGCAUGGCUGUCGUCAGCUCGUGUCGUGAGAUGUUGGGUUAAGUCCCGCAACGAGCGCAACCCUCGUCCUUAGUUGCCAUCAUUUAGUUGGGAACUCUAAGGAAACUGCCGGUGAUAAGCCGGA